AUGAGCGAUCUCCCGCCGGCGGCGGCGAUGGGGGGCGAGCGGGACAUCGAGCUGGGCCUUCCCACCACCAACACCACAUCAGGCUACACGCGUCAGCACAUUCUCGAAGACAUCCGCCAGUUCUCGACGCUGCUGGGCAGCACGCCCACGAUGCUUCACAAGCUCAAGAAAGCCAACGAGGAGUUGAAAUCGGCCGCUGAAUCUGCUGCAGUGAAAGAAAUCAGGGGGCGCAUGGAGAAAGACAUGGACGAGGCGGCGAAGAUGGCACGGAUCAUGAAAGAGAAGCUAAGCAGAAUCUUCCCAAGGGCACUGAAGAUGAAGCUUAAGGAAAGAAAGAAAGAUCUUAAGGUGAUUCGCGUGAUCGACACCAGCAGCAUCAUGCAGAUCUUUGAGCACAGAGUUCAUGGAAUAGGUCCAGAGCAGGCCAGCGCCAUAGGGGAGGAAAUCAAGGAGCGGCGUGCUGCGGCCAUGGAUCUCGGCAAGAAGGCUGUUGAGGUGCAAAAGAAUUUCAGGGAGAUGCUGGCGCUUGUCAAGGCGCAGGAGAAAAUAGUCAAGGCACUGAGUCAGGUCCGUCAGAGUGCUGAGGCCCGUGCACGAUCUAUUGCGGAGAAUCUGGCCCGUGCACGAUCUAGGGUCGAGGAGCUGCGCCAGGAGAUGGAGGAGACAAAGCUGCUCAUCGCACUGGUUGUGAUCCUCUUCUUGUUGUGCAUCGUCGCGGUUACCCACGGAAUCUCCGGCGACCACUUACGGAGUAGUACUUGUUCCUACCUAGUACUUCCAUUGCAUGGCACGCAACUGGGAUUUUAG
rnacentral:rRNA from 1 species